rnacentral:sRNA from 1 species
GAAUCGCGGUGCGACGAAGGAGUAGGUGGUGGGAUCUCACCGUGGGUCCGAUUAGCCUUUUCUCUGCCUUGCUUGCUUGAGCUUCAGCGGAAUUCGAAAUGGUAAACUUCGCAGAGACGCUCGAUGACUCCGCGGGUUUUUGCCGGCGGGAGAAAAACCCGUUACACAGAGGGAUGGGGGUGAAGUGGCGACGGUUGGGAACGCGCGGAGACAGGAUUUAGAAGAGUGGGGGGAGGUGUUUUGUCGGCUGCUAGCGGAGCAGCCUCGGAUCUCGCGGCGGGCGGCGACGGUUGGGUGGCGCGCGCAGCGCCGCUGGGGGCCGGCGGGCGGGCGGAGGCGCGCGGCCGUGGCGAGCGCGCGGCGGGGGGCGAACGGGCGGGGUCGCCCCUGCGGCGCGCCGCGGGCCGGAGACCCCGGCGGGGUGCGGGGACGCGCUCGCGGCGGGACGCGCCGCGGUGGGGGAUGGGCGCGCCGCCUUGGUAAUUCUAUAUUCUCCGUUCCUCCUCCGCUCGCGGGCGUGUGCGCGCCGCAGGCUGGCGGUAAGGCUGGAAAGGACUCCGGAAAGGCCAAGACAAAGGCGGUUUCCCGCUCGCAGAGAGCCGGCUUGCAGUUCCCAGUGGGCCGUAUUCAUCGACACCUGAAAUCUAGGACGACCAGUCAUGGACGUGUGGGUGCGACUGCCGCUGUGUACAGCGCAGCCAUCCUGGAGUACCUCACCGCAGAGGUACUUGAACUGGCAGGAAAUGCAUCAAAAGACUUAAAGGUAAAGCGUAUUACCCCUCGUCACUUGCAACUUGCUAUUCGUGGAGAUGAAGAAUUGGAUUCUCUCAUCAAGGCUACAAUUGCUGGUGGUGGUGUCAUUCCACACAUCCACAAAUCUCUGAUUGGGAAGAAAGGACAACAGAAGACUGUCUAAAGGAUGCCUGGAUUCCUUGUUUUCUCAGGACUCUAAAUACUCUAACAGCUGUCCAGUGUUGGUGAUUCCAGUGGACUGUAUCUCUGUGAAAAACACAAUUUUGCCUUUUUGUAAUUCUAUUUGAGCAAGUUGGAAGUUUAAUUAGCUUUCCAACCAACCAAAUUUCUGCAUUCGAGUCUUAACCAUAUUUAAGUGUUACUGUGGCUUCAAAGAAGCUAUUGAUUCUGAAGUAGUGGGUUUUGAUUGAGUUGACUGUUUUUAAAAAACUGUUUGGAUUUUAAUUGUGAUGCAGAAGUUAUAGUAACAAACAUUUGGUUUUGUACAGACAUUAUUUCCACUCUG